rnacentral:rRNA from 1 species
AGAGUUUGAUCAUGGCUCAGAUUGAACGCUGGCGGCGUGCUUAACACAUGCAAGUCGAGCGGCAGCGCGGGGGCAACCCUGGCGGCGAGCGGCGAACGGGUGCGUAAUGCAUGGGAAUCUGCCCAGUAGUGGGGAAUAACCCGGGGAAACCCGGGCUAAUGCCGCAUACGACCUACGGGUGAAAGCGGGGGAUCGCAAGACCUCGCGCUAUUGGAUGAGCCCAUGUCGGAUUAGCUAGUUGGUAGGGUAACGGCCUACCAAGGCGACGAUCCGUAGCUGGUCUGAGAGGACGGCCAGCCACACUGGGACUGAGACACGGCCCAGACUCCUACGGGAGGCAGCAGUGGGGAAUUUUGGACAAUGGGCGCAAGCCUGAUCCAGCGACGCCGCGUGUGUGAAGAAGGCCUUCGGGUUGUAAAGCUCUUUUGUCCGGAGCGAAACGGUUACGGUGAAUAUCCGUGACUACUGACGGUACCGGAAGAAUAAGCACCGGCUAACUACGUGCCAGCAGCCGCGGUAAUACGUAGGGUGCGAGCGUUAAUCGGAAUUACUGGGCGUAAAGCGUGCGCAGGCGGUUUUGUAAGCCAGAUGUGAAAUCCCCGGGCUCAACCUGGGAGUGGCAUUUGGGACUGCAAGGCUUGAGUAUGGCAGAGGGGGCUAGAAUUCCUGGUGUAGCAGUGAAAUGCGUAGAUAUCAGGAGGAAUACCGAUGGCGAAGGC